rnacentral:rRNA from 1 species
GACGAACGCUGGCGGCGUGCUUAACACAUGCAAGUCGAACGGAAAGGCCCCUUUGGGGGUCCUCGAGUGGCGAACGGGUGAGUAACACGUGAGUAACCUGCCCUUGACUUCGGGAUAACUUCAGGAAACUGGGGCUAAUACCGGAUAGGAAUCCUUGCUGCAUGGUGGGGGUUGGAAAGCUUCGGGGGGUUUGGGUGGACGCGCGGGUUUUCAGCUUGUUGGUGGGGGAGUGGGUUACCAAGGCUUUGACGGGUAGCCGGCCUGAGGGGGCGACCGGCCAAAUUGGGACUGAGAUACGGCCCAGACUCCCACGGGAGGCAGCAGGGGGGAAUAUUGCACAAUGGGCGGAAGCCUGAUGCAGCAACGCCGCGGGCGGGAUGACGGCCUUCGGGUUGUAAACCGGUUUCAGCAGGGGAGAAGCUUGUGGUGACGGUACCUGCAGAAGAAGCACCGGCUAACUACGUG